rnacentral:pre_miRNA from 1 species
ACUUUAUUGGACGCUGACUAUCAUAUGUCGUGAUUUUAUUGGAGAUUAAUGUUAAUUAGGUACACGAAAUUAACAUCCAAUAAGUGUGCAACACGUGAUAGUCAAUGUCCAAUAAAAACAUGACAUGUGACAGUCAACAUUA